AACGAACGCUGGCGGCAGGCUUAACACAUGCAAGUCGAGCGCCCCGCAAGGGGAGCGGCAGACGGGUGAGUAACGCGUGGGAAUCUACCCAUCUCUACGGAAUAACGCAUGGAAACGUGUGCUAAUACCGUAUACGUCCUUCGGGAGAAAGAUUUAUCGGAGAUGGAUGAGCCCGCGUUGGAUUAGCUAGUUGGUGGGGUAAAGGCCUACCAAGGCGACGAUCCAUAGCUGGUCUGAGAGGACGAUCAGCCACACUGGGACUGAGACACGGCCCAGACUCCUACGGGAGGCAGCAGUGGGGAAUAUUGGACAAUGGGCGCAAGCCUGAUCCAGCCAUGCCGCGUGAGUGAUGAAGGCCCUAGGGUUGUAAAGCUCUUUCACCGGUGAAGAUAAUGACGGUAACCGGAGAAGAAGCCCCGGCUAACUUUGUGCCAGCCGCCGCGGUAAUAC
rnacentral:rRNA from 1 species